AACGCACGAGACCUGCGGACCUGCGGAAGGAUCAUUACCGAGUUUACAACUCCCAAACCCAAUGUGAACGUUACCAAACUGUUGCCUCGGCGGGAUCUCUGCCCCGGGUGCGUCGCAGCCCCGGACCAAGGCGCCCGCCGGAGGACCAACCAAAGCUCUUUUGUAUACCCCCUCGCGGGUUUUUAUAUCUGAGCCAUCUCGGCGCCUCUCGUAGGCGUUUCGAAAAUGAAUCAAAACUUU
rnacentral:misc_RNA from 1 species